AGCGACUCGCUUCAACCUGGAGACAGAGUGGAAGAACAACUACCCCCGCCUGCGGGAGCUCGACAGGGUAAGAGUCCAAACGCACGCGGUCCUGUCUAUGCUUGAACUACUGUGCUCUUUAGAGUUCCUGUUGACCUGCUGAGCUACAUCGCUGUGAUUUUAAUGAUGAUUACUUAGGAAUAGUUGUCUUUCUACAGUAGUAACUAUUAUAACGUUUUAAAAUAAUUAGGAAUCAUAAGAUAUAAAACAUGUUAAAAUGUUUUCUGAGAAAGUUAUGACUUUUAGUAGUCUUAUUGAUAUAUGCCUAUGUAAUCUAAUUUUUGGUUUUAUUUUUCAUUAGCUUUUUACUUUCUUGGUAUUUACCUUAGAAAUAUAGUCCAUUUAAUGGGAACUAAAUAUUCUUUUUCUUUGAUUUUAAAAUAGCAUUAGUUAUAAGACCCAGCAUUCACUUACUAUUACUAAUCACUGAAUUGUGUGUUGCUUCUUUAGCAAUUGUUUUGUGGAAAUGUUAUGUUUAAAAAACUGCAGUAUGACCUGAAAAGAGUAGACAGUGCACCUGCUUCUCGGUCCCUGUCUGAGUAAUGACUUUCCUGAAGGAGGUUAGAAGGCCAUUUCUUAGUCUCGCGUCUUCAACCCAGAGCUUAGUCGACCACCCUGUCUGUACCCUGCUUUUGGGUAUCUCUGAAGGUCGUGACAGGACAGAUAUAGUGUCUGUGACGAUGCUAAUUUGUGUCUAUGUUGCCUAGAAUGAACUAUUUGAA
rnacentral:lncRNA from 1 species